rnacentral:rRNA from 1 species
CGCGAAUCGCCCUUCCAGCAGGCGCGAAAACUUUACAAUGCCGGCAACGGCGAAUAGGGAACCUCGAGUGCCAGGUUACAAAUCUGGCUGUCGUGAUGCCUAAAAAGCAUUGCAUAGCAAGGGCCGGGCAAGACCGGUGCCAGCCGCCGCGGUAACACCGGCGGCUCGAGUGGUAACCGUUAUUAUUGGGUCUAAAGGGUCUGUAGCCGGCCGGGUAAGUCUCUUGGGAAAUCUGGCAGCUUAACUGUCAGGCUUUCAGGAGAUACUGCCUGGCUCGAGGCCGGGAGAGGUGAGAGGUACUUCAGGGGUAGGGGUGAAAUCUUGUAAUCCUUGAAGGACCACCAGUGGCGAAGGCGUCUCACCAGAACGGACCUGACGGCAAGGGACGAAAGCUAGGGGCACGAACCGGAUUAGAUACCCGGGUAGUCCUAGCCGUAAACGAUACUCGCUAGGUGUCGGCCACGGUGCGACCGUGGUCGGUGCCGUAGGGAAGCCGUGAAGCGAGCCACCUGGGAAGUACGGCCGCAAGGCUGAAACUUAAAGGAAUUGGCGGGGGAGCAC